UACGUAGGGGGCGAGCGUUGUCCGAAGUUACUGGGCGUAAAGCGCGCGUAGGCGGGAAAUUAAGUGAGAAGUGAAAGGCUGGGGCUCAACCUCAUGCAGUGCUUCUCAUACUGGUUUUCUUGAGGGCGGUAGAGAAAAGUGGAAUGGCUGGUGUAGCGGUGAAAUGCGUAGAUAUCAGUCGGAACACCGGUGGCGAAGGCGGCUUUUUGGGCCGUUCCUGACGCUGAGGCGCGAAAGCGUGGGGAGCGAACAGG
rnacentral:rRNA from 1 species